rnacentral:rRNA from 1 species
GUGGACGCAUCACUGGUGUUCGGGUUGUCAUGCCAAUGGCACUGCCCGGUAGCUAAAUGCGGAAGAGAUAAGUGCUGAAAGCAUCUAAGCACGAAACUUGCCCCGAGAUGAGUUCUCCCUGACUCCUUGAGAGUCCUGAAGGAACGUUGAAGACGACGACGUUGAUAGGCCGGGUGUGUAAGCGCAGCGAUGCGUUGAGCUAACCGGUACUAAUGAACCGUGAGGCUUAACCUUACAACGCCGAAG